UGUUAAAAAUUUCAUCCAUUAGUACUAGUAAAAACUGUCGUGGUUGACAGAAUGUCUGACAUGUGACAUGUAACGUGCCACGUGUAUCUUAUGCUGAUGUACAGGGACCAAUUUUAACAACAAAAAAUGGAUGAAACUUUUAACA
rnacentral:pre_miRNA from 1 species